UACAGUGGAAGAAGGAGCUUUGUAAUUCAGUGCAGCUUAUUGGUAAUGUUGCAGUGCCGGUUCAAAUUAAGCAUCUUAAUUCCGGAAAAGUUGUAGCUUGGACUCGUCUUGCUGUAAGGAAGUCGCAAAACGACACUACUUGGAUUAAUUUGACAUUCUGGGAUGACUUGGCUAAUGUUGCCAAUCAACAUGUGGAGAAAGGACAGCAGAUAUAUGUGUCUGGUCGCCUAAUAUCAGAUACAGUUGAAGGUGAUGAUGGAAAAGAACAGACUUAUUAUAAGGUGGUCGUUCAGCAAUUGAAUUUUAUUGAGAAGAGCUCUCCUCCUAUUGCCUCAUAUAACGGGGACUCUAAUUCCAUGGCACCACGUAAAAAGCAAAAUAAUUUUGCUGCAAAUACCACUGGAUCCACG
rnacentral:misc_RNA from 1 species